AUGAACGCUGGCGGCGUGCCUAAUACAUGCAAGUCGAGCGAACAGACGAGGAGCUUGCUCCUUUGACGUUAGCGGCGGACGGGUGAGUAACACGUGGCUAACCUACCUAUAAGACUGGGAUAACUUCGGGAAACCGGAGCUAAUACCGGAUAACAUGUUGAACCGCAUGGUUCCACAGUGAAAGACGGUUUUGCUGUCACUUAUAGAUGGAUCCGCGCCGCAUUAGCUAGUUGGUAAGGUAACGGCUUACCAAGGCAACGAUGCGUAGCCGACCUGAGAGGGUGAUCGGCCACACUGGAACUGAGACACGGUCCAGACUCCUACGGGAGGCAGCAGUAGGGAAUCUUCCGCAAUGGGCGAAAGCCUGACGGAGCAACGCCGCGUGAGUGAAGAAGGUCUUCGGAUCGUAAAACUCUGUUAUUAGGGAAGAACAAAUGUGUAAGUAACUAUGCACGUCUUGACGGUACCUAAUCAGAAAGCCACGGCUAACUACGUG
rnacentral:rRNA from 1 species